CCUCGGUCCCUGUUCCCACCUCUAAAUGUACCCAGAGCAGCAGUAACCCAUUUUAUUGCUGUGUCCAUGACCACAUGGAGGACAGAAACGGAAACUCAAGGAGGGCAAGUAGGUGAUAGUGUUGAACUUCUAAAUGGGACAGCACAUGGAAAGACUAGGCAAAAUGCAUUGUCGGCCUGCUAAGAUGUUUCAUGAGGUGGUGAAUAUUGAGGCUAAUUUUCCAUUGUUUAAGGAGGGUUAAAACUGACCCAAAUCAGCUACCCAGAUCUCCAUCCCUCUCACUGACCCUCAGAAGACAAUGUUAAAUCAUUAUUUCUACUUGCCACUCAUCCCAAACUGUGGAGCAGGGGCAAGUGUUUCUCUAAAAAAUGACUUUUGGGGGUGCCUGGGUGACUCAGCUGGUUAGGCAUCCGAUUCUUCAUUUCAGAUCAGGUCAUGAUCUCAUGU